rnacentral:rRNA from 1 species
AACGUAGGGGACAAGCGUUAUCCGGAUUUACUGGGCGUAAAGCGCCCGUAGGCGGCUUAACAAGUUGGAUGUGAAAGCUCCCGGCUUAACUGGGAGAGUCAUUCAAAACUGUUAGGCUAGAGGAUGGAAGAGGAGAGCGGAAUUCCCGGUGUAGUGGUGGAAUGCGUAGAGAUCGGGAGGAACACCGGUGGCGAAGGCGGAUCUCUGGGCCGUAACUGACGCUGAGGAGCGAAAGCAUGGGUAGCGAACAGG